UUAAGAAUCUCACAAGCUCACACUAAUGGGUUAAUCAACUUUUUUUAAAAAUAAAUCCGAUCUUAUUUGGAACGGAGUACAUGCAAAAGCCAGGACGCGAUAUGAAGGAGCUGCCACCUAGAGCACAAAUACUUUAGUUUUAACUCUGUUUUGGAAGGAGCCCCUGAAGUUGGUUAUGAUUGUUGCGUGUGUGUGAGUAGAUCAAUAGAUGAAAUUCCCCAAGAAUGACCGUGUCAGUAGCUCAUGGGAUUUAUCGUGAUUCUUAGAUACCUAUACAGCUUAAAAAGGUGGAAUAUUCCCGCUCAGCAACCGCCAUGCCCACUGUCUCGAGCUCUCUGUUGCUCUUUACCUACUCUUCCCGUCCGUGCUCCCCACGUGAUGUUUUGUGCAGUUUUAUGACGUCAAUCAGGAGGUCGUGCACAAGUCAUCAUGAGACCUUGUUUUCAACAUUCUUCAGAGCUCUAAUUCUGUCGUGACGAGUGACUGAGGAGGUCGGUGUUUAUUGUAUUGAAGUGGGAUUAUUGUAUUAAUAAAUUAAAUUAUGACUCAA